AGACGACGAAGUGGUUGAUGCCAUGCUUCCAAGAAAAGCUUCUAAGCUUCAGGUAACCAGGAACCGUACCCCAAACCGACACAGGUGGUUGGGUAGAGAAUACCAAGGCGCUUGAGAGAACUCGGGUGAAGGAACUAGGCAAAAUGGCACCGUAACUUCGGGAGAAGGUGCGCCGGUGAGGGUGAAGGACUUGCUCCGUAAGCUCAUGCCGGUCGAAGAUACCAGGCCGCUGCGACUGUUUAUUAAAAACACAGCACUCUGCAAACACGAAAGUGGACGUAUAGGGUGUGACGCCUGCCCGGUGCCGGAAGGUUAAUUGAUGGGGUUAGCGCAAGCGAAGCUCUUGAUCGAAGCCCCGGUAAACGGCGGCCGUAACUAUAACGGUCCUAAGGUAGCGAAAUUCCUUGUCGGGUAAGUUCCGACCUGCACGAAUGGCGUAACGAUGGCGGCGCUGUCUCCACCCGAGACUCAGUGAAAUUGAAAUCGCUGUGAAGAUGCAGUGUAUCCGCGGCUAGACGGAAAGACCCCGUGAACCUUUACUAUAGCUUUGCACUGGACUUUGAAUUUGCUUGUGUAGGAUAGGUGGGAGGCUUUGAAGCGUGGACGCCAGUCUGCGUGGAGCCAACCUUGAAAUACCACCCUGGCAACUUUGAGGUUCUAACUCAGGUCCGUUAUCCGGAUCGAGGACAGUGUAUGGUGGGUAGUUUGACUGGGGCGGUCUCCUCCUAAAGAGUAACGGAGGAGUACGAAGGUGCGCUCAGACCGGUCGGAAAUCGGUCGUAGAGUAUAAAGGCAAAAGCGCGCUUGACUGCGAGACAGACACGUCGAGCAGGUACGAAAGUAGGUCUUAGUGAUCCGGUGGUUCUGUAUGGAAGGGCCAUCGCUCAACGGAUAAAAGGUACUCCGGGGAUAACAGGCUGAUACCGCCCAAGAGUUCAUAUCGACGGCGGUGUUUGGCACCUCGAUGUCGGCUCAUCACAUCCUGGGGCUGAAGCCGGUCCCAAGGGUAUGGCUGUUCGCCAUUUAAAGUGGUACGCGAGCUGGGUUUAGAACGUCGUGAGACAGUUCGGUCCCUAUCUGCCGUGGACGUUUGAGAUUUGAGAGGGGCUGCUCCUAGUACGAGAGGACCGGAGUGGACGAACCUCUGGUGUUCCGGUUGUCACGCCAGUGGCAUUGCCGGGUAGCUAUGUUCGGGAAAGAUAACCGCUGAAAGCAUCUAAGCGGGAAACUUGCCUCAAGAUGAGAUCUCACUGGAACCUUGAGUUCCCUGAAGGGCCGUCGAAGACUACGACGUUGAUAGGUGGGGUGUGUAAGCGCUGUGAGGCGUUGAGCUAACCCAUACUAAUUGCCCGUGAGGCUUGACCAU
rnacentral:rRNA from 4 species